rnacentral:rRNA from 1 species
AACGAAGGGGGCUAGCGAUGUUCGGAAUCACUGGGCGUAAAGCGCACGCAGGCGGAUGGAUAAGUCGGGGGUGAAAGCCCGGGGCUCAACCUCGGAAUUGCCUUCGAUACUGUCGGUCUCGAGUCCGGGAGAGGUGAGUGGAACUCCUAGUGUAGAGGUGAAAUUCGUAGAUAUUAGGAAGAACACCAGUGGCGAAGGCGGCUCACUGGCUCGGUACUGACGCUCAGGUGCGAAAGCGUGGGGAGCAAACAGG